rnacentral:rRNA from 1 species
GACGAACGCUGGCGGCGUGCUUAACACAUGCCAGUCGAACGGAAAGGCCCUGCUUUUGUGGGGUGCUCGAGUGGCGAACGGGUGAGUAACACGUGAGUAACCUGCCCUUGACUUUGGGAUAACUUCAGGAAACUGGGGCUAAUACCGGAUAGGAGCUCCUGCUGCAUGGUGGGGGUUGGAAAGUUUCGGCGGUUGGGGAUGGACUCGCGGCUUAUCAGCUUGUUGGUGGGGUAGUGGCUUACCAAGGCUUUGACGGGUAGCCGGCCUGAGAGGGUGACCGGCGACAUUGGGACUGAGAUACGGCCCAGACUCCUACGGGAGGCAGCAGGGGGGAAUAUGGCACAAUGGGCGGAAGCCUGAGGCAGCAACGCCGCGUGCGGGAUGACGGCCUUCGGGUUGUAAACCGCUUUCGCCUGUGACGAAGCGUGAGUGACGGUAAUGGGUAAAGAAGCACCGGCUAACUACGUG